rnacentral:rRNA from 1 species
UACGUAGGGGGCAAGCGUUGUCCGGAAUCAUUGGGCGUAAAGAGCGCGUAGGCGGCCCGAUAAGUCCGCUGUGAAAGUCAAGGGCUCAACCCUUGAAUGCCGGUGGAUACUGUCGGGCUAGAGUCCGGAAGAGGCGAGUGGAAUUCCUGGUGUAGCGGUGAAAUGCGCAGAUAUCAGGAGGAACACCGAUUGCGAAGGCAGCUCGCUGGGACGUAACUGACGCUGAGACGCGAAAGCGUGGGGAGCAAACAGG